AGUCGACGCGGUUACCCCGCAGGGGUAACUGAGUGGCGAACGGGUGAGUAACACGUGGGUGACCUGCCUUCGAGUGGGGGAUAACAUCCCGAAAGGGGUGCUAAUACCGCAUGAAAUCCUGCCUUUGAAGAGGCGGUGAUUAAAGCCGGGGAUCGUAAGACCUGGCGCUUGAAGAGGGGCCCGCGUCCGAUUAGCUAGUUGGUGGGGUAACGGCCUACCAAGGCGACGAUCGGUAGCCGGCCUGAGAGGGCGGACGGCCACACUGGGACUGAGACACGGCCCAGACUCCUACGGGAGGCAGCAGUGGGGAAUUGUUCGCAAUGGGCGAAAGCCUGACGACGCAACGCCGCGUGGAGGACGAAGAUUUUCGGAUCGUAAACUCCUUUCGAUCGGGACGAAUGACUGGUGACCUAACACGUCAUCAGAGUGACGGUACCGAGAGAGGAAGCCCCGGCUAACUCCGUGCCAGCAGCCGCGGUAAUACGGGGGGGCAAGCGUUGUUCGGAAUUACUGGGCGUAAAGGGCGCGU
rnacentral:rRNA from 1 species